AACGAACGCUGGCGGCAUGCCUAACACAUGCAAGUCGAACGAGACCUUCGGGGCUAGUGGCGCACGGGUGCGUAACGCGUGGGAACCUGCCCUUAGGUUCGGAAUAACUCCCCGAAAGGGGUGCUAAUACCGGAUAAUGUCUUCGGACCAAAGAUUUAUCGCCUUUGGAUGGGCCCGCGUUGGAUUAGCUAGUUGGUAGGGUAAAAGCCUACCAAGGCGACGAUCCAUAGCUGGUCUGAGAGGAUGAUCAGCCACACUGGGACUGAGACACGGCCCAGACUCCUACGGGAGGCAGCAGUGGGGAAUAUUGGACCGUGGGCGAAAGCCUGAUCCAGCACUGCCGCGUGAGUGAUGAAGGCCUUAGGGUUGUAAUGCUCUUUUACCCGGGAUGAUAAUGACAGUACCGGGAGAAUAAGCUCCGGCUAACUCCGUG
rnacentral:rRNA from 1 species